rnacentral:rRNA from 1 species
GACGAACGCUGGCGGCGUGCUUAACACAUGCAAGUCGAACGGAAAGGCCCUGCUUUUGUGGGGUGCUCGAGUGGCGAACGGGUGAGUAACACGUGAGUAACCUGCCCUUGACUUUGGGAUAACUUCAGGAAACUGGGGCUAAUACCGGAUAGGAGCUCCUGCUGCAUGGUGGGGGUUGGAAAGUUUCGGCGGUUGGGGAUGGACUCGCGGCUUAUCAGCUUGUUGGUGGGGCAGUGGCUUACCAAGGCUUUGACGGGUAGCCGGCCUGAGAGGGUGACCGGCCACAUUGGGACUGAGAUACGGCCCAGACUCCUACGGGAGGCAGCAGUGGGGAAUAUUGCACAAUGGGCAGAAGCCUGAUGCAGCAACGCCGCGUGCGGGAUGACGGCCUUCGGGUUGUAAACCGCUUUCGCCUGUGACGAAGCGUGAGUGACGGUAAUGGGUAAAGAAGCACCGGCUAACUACGUG